rnacentral:tRNA from 1 species
GGGCGCUUAGCUCAGCUGGAAGAGCGCCUCCCUUACAAGGAGGAGGUCGGCGGUUCGAGCCCGUCAGCGCCCA